GGGAAUGGGCGGUAGGACUACACAUGCAAGUCGACGGCAGCACAGGAGAGCUUGCUCUCUGGGUGGCGAGUGGCGGACGGGUGAGGAAUACAUCGGAAUCUACUUUUUCGUGGGGGAUAACGUAGGGAAACUUACGCUAAUACCGCAUACGACCUACGGGUGAAAGCAGGGGACCCUCGGGCCUUGCGCGAUUGAAUGAGCCGAUGUCGGAUUAGCUAGUUGGCGGGGUAAAGGCCCACCAAGGCGACGAUCCGUAGCUGGUCUGAGAGGAUGAUCAGCCACACUGGAACUGAGACACGGUCCAGACUCCUACGGGAGGCAGCAGUGGGGAAUAUUGGACAAUGGGCGCAAGCCUGAUCCAGCCAUACCGCGUGGGUGAAGAAGGCCUUCGGGUUGUAAAGCCCUUUUGUUGGGAAAGAAAUCCAGCUGGCUAAUACCCGGUUGGGAUGACGGUACCCAAAGAAUAAGCACCGGCUAACUUCGUGCCAGCAGCCGCGGUAAUACGAAGGGUGCAAGCGUUACUCGGAAUUACUGGGCGUAGAGCGUGCGUAGGUGGUCGUUUAAGUCCGUUGUGAAAGCCCUGGGCUCAACCUGGGAACUGCAGUGGAUACUGGGCGACUAGAGUGUGGUACAGGGUAGCGGAAUUCCUGGUGUAGCAGUGAAAUGCGUAGAGAUCAGGAGGAACAUCCAUGGCGAAGGCAGCUACCUGGACCAACACUGACACUGAGGCACGAGAGCGUGGGGAGCAUACAGGAUUAGAUACCCUGGUAGUCCACGCCCUAGACGAUGCGAACUGGAUGUUGGGUGCAAUUUGGCACGCAGUAUCGAAGCUAACGCGUUAGUUCGCCGCCUGGGGAGUACGGUCGCAAGACUGAAACUCCACGGAAUUGACGGGGGCCCGCCCAAGCGGUGGACUAGGUGGUUUAAUUCGAUGCAACGCGAAAAACCUUACCUGGCCUUGACCUGUCAAUAACUUUCCAGAAAUGGAUCGUUGCUUUCGGAACUCGAAGCAAGUACUUGAUCGGUGGCGUCUUCUCUGGUCCUGAAAUGUCGGCUGAGUUCCACCACCAGGACUACCUUCGCCCUUAAUGGCAUCACGUACCGAUGGCAUCUUACGAAACCGCAGGGACGAACCGACUAGGUCGGUUGACAUAAUUCACUUGGCCCUACGGCAGGUUAGACGGGUUCCAUUGCUUGGACAAGGC
rnacentral:rRNA from 1 species